GACGAACGCUGGCGGCGUGCUUAACACAUGCAAGUCGAACGGAAAGGCCCCUUUGGGGGUACUCGAGUGGCGAACGGGUGAGUAACACGUGAGUAACCUGCCCUUGACUUCGGGAUAACUUCAGGAAACUGGGGCUAAUACCGGAUAGGAAUCCUUGCUGCAUGGUGGGGGUUGGAAAGCUUCGGCGGUUUUGGAUGGACUCGCGGCUUAUCAGCUUGUUGGUGGGGUAGUGGCUUACCAAGGCUUUGACGGGUAGCCGGCCGGAGAGGGCGACCGGCCACAUUGGGACUGAGAUACGGCCCAGACUCCUACGGGAGGCAGCAGUGGGGAAUAUUGCACAAUGGGCGGAAGCCUGAUGCAGCAACGCCGCGUGCGGGAUGACGGCCUUCGGGUUGUAAACCGCUUUCAGCAGGGGCGAAGCUUGUGGUGACGGUACCUGCAGAAGAAGCACCGGCUAACUACGUG
rnacentral:rRNA from 1 species